AUGAGAGAAGACAUUCCAGGCAGAAGGACCAAUGCAAAGGGAGGAGUAUAUUUGGCAUGGUUAAGAAAGCAAGAGGGCUUUCAAGCAUGGCGUUUGGUUGGUGAGGACCUACACAGGUUCAACAAGGGUAUCAAGAAGUGUUACUUCUCUUCGGGGCCCACCUACCCCAAACCACGACAUGAUGUUUGUCCGCAAUGAUUGCAAGGUGUUCAGAUUUUGUAAAUCUAAAUGUCAUAAAAACUAUAAAAAGAAGCGCAAUCCUCACAAAGUUAGGUGGACCAAAGCAUUCCGGAAAGAGCUUACAGUGGAUAAUUCAUUUGAAUUUUAAAAACGUAGAAAUGAACCUAUCAAAUGCUAGCAAGAGCGAUGGAAUAAAACUAUUGAUGCAAUGAAGAGAGUUGAAGAGAUCAAACAGAAAUGCCACGUUAAAUUUAUAAUGAACAGAUUGAAGAAAAAUAAAGAGCUACAGAAAGUUCAGGAUAUCAAAGAAGUCAAGCAAAACAUCCAUCUUAUCCGAGCCCCUCUUGCAGGCAAAGCGAAGCAGUUGGAAGAGAAAAUGGUACAGCAGUUACAAGAGGAUGUGGACAAGAGGAUGCUUCUUAAAAAUCUCUGUAACCAUUUCUUUUAUGUACAUUUGAAAAUGCCCUUUGAAGACUUCGAACUGCUAAAUUAUUAGUUUAUUUUUUACAUAAGGUCACUUAAAUGAAAAGUGAUUAAAAUAUAUCUUUCCUACGUUGCCAUCUACAAAACAUCAGGUAUUAUGAAUGUUAGAUUUCAUCUCAGUGUUAAAUCUUCACUAAUAGAUUUAUGUAAAUCAUGAAAAUUCUACUUAUAACUACAGAAGUGAAUUGUGGACGUAAAACGGUUAUGCCAUUUGGAUAAUGACAUUAGGCAGCAUAUAAUAACUAAUGGCUAAAAUCCAUGGCUAGUGAUAUAUAAAACAAAAUAUUCUUUGCAGUAAAAUAUUCCCUUUAUUAAUGUUACAGAAGGAGGAACACAUCAGGGAACUAACAAUCUGUAUGACACUGUCAAAUAUUAUUUUGAUUUUAAUAUUUCCUAUUUUGGUUUAUUUGCAUCUUAGAAGAGCAUAAUGACAUUGUUUGAUGAAGCCUAAUUAUGCUGGACUGCUUUGACCUGGUUUAACCCUUCUGAUAGGUAGUUGUGGAUGCUGGGGAUGAGAACUGAAUAAUCUUUGCCUGGAGUGACACUACACUCUAGAGUUUCCACUUUGGAGAAUAUUCAGUUCUAACUUGUGAUUCCCGGUAGAACAAACUUUAUUUUUCUAGCCUACCAAUGAUCUAGAAGCAGAGGAAUCCCAGUGCCUUUUAAAAGUUGUUAUGUGGUUUUCUUUUAAAAAGCUCGUUUUUGGAAAGUAGAAUUUAUGGGUACAACAUCUGCUUAUUAUUUGCACAUAAAACCAUUUAAAAAGUAAAAAAAAAAAAAAAAAAAAAAAAAAAAAAGCAAGAGGGCCAGUGUGGUUAACGUGAAGUAAGAAUACAGCAAUAAGAAAUGAGGUCAAGUUAAAGAAGUUAAUAGGAGACUAAGUCAUAUGUGGCCUUCUGGGCUGUUUUAAGUACUUGGGCUUUUACUUUGAGUGAAAUAGGGAGCCAGCUGGGUGCAGUGGCUCACCCCUAUAAUCCCAGCACUCUGGGAGGCCGAGGUGGGUGGAUCACAA